rnacentral:tRNA from 1 species
AAUAGAAUGGCUGAGUUUAUAGGCACUAAACUGUAAAUUUAGACACAAGAGAUUUCUUUUCUAUUA